AACGAACGUUGGCGGCGUGGAUGAGGCAUGCAAGUCGAGCGUGAAACCCCGCAAGGGGGAGUAAAGCGGCGAAAGGGUGAGUAAUACGUAAUCAACCUACCCUCGAGACUGGGAUAACCAUGGGAAACUGUGGCUAAUACCGGAUAGUCUAUUCGAACUGCAUGGUUUGAAUAGUAAACGAUAGGGAUCCUUCGGGACCUUUUGCUCGUGGAGGGGAUUGCGGCCCAUCAGCUAGUUGGCGGGGUAACGGCCCACCAAGGCGAUGACGGGUAGCAGGCCUGAGAGGGUGGUCUGCCACAUUGGGACUGAGACACUGCCCAGACUCCUACGGGAGGCUGCAGUCGAGGAUCUUCCGCAAUGGGCGCAAGCCUGACGGNGCGACGCCGCGUGGAGGAUGAAGGCC
rnacentral:rRNA from 1 species